rnacentral:rRNA from 1 species
GCAUAUCAAAAAGCGGAGGAAAAGAAACUAACAAGGAUUCCCCUAGUAACUGCGAGUGAAGCGGGAAAAGCUCAAAUUUGAAAUCUGGUGGUCUUUGGCCAUCCGAGUUGUAAACUAGAGAAGUGCUAUCCGCGCUGGACCGUGUACAAGUCCCCUGGAAUGGGGCGUCAUAGAGGGUGAGAAUCCCGUCUUUGACACGGACUACCAGGGCUUUGUGAUGUGCUCUCAAAGAGUCGAGUUGUUUGGGAAUGCAGCUCAAAAUGGGUGGUAAAUUCCAUCUAAAGCUAAAUAUUGGCGAGAGACCGAUAGCGAACAAGUACCGUGAGGGAAAGAUGAAAAGAACUUUGGAAAGAGAGUUAAACAGUACGUGAAAUUGUUGAAAGGGAAACGCUUGAAGUCAGUCGCGUCGGCUAGGGAUCAACCUUACUUUUUUGUGGGGUGCACUUCCUGGUUGAUGGGUCAACAUCAAUUUUGGUCGCUGGAUAAAGGUCAGGGAAAUGUGGCAUCCUCGGAUGUGUUAUAGUCCUUGAUCAGAUACAGCGGCUGGGAUUGAGGCUCUCAGCACGCCGAAAGGCCGGGGGUUUCUACCUCACGUUCGUGCUUAGGAUGUUGGCAAAAUGGCUUUAAUCGACCCGUCUUGAAACACGGACAAAGGAGUCA